CCCUUAGAUGUCCGGGGCCGCACGCGCGCUACACUGAAGGAAUCAGCGUGGCUUUCUCCCUGACCCGAAAGAGUUGGGAAACCCGUUGAAUCUCCUUCGUGAUAGGGAUUGGGGCUUGAAAUUGUUCCCCAUGAACGAGGAAUUCCCAGUAAGCGCGAGUCAUAAGCUCGCGUUGAUUACGUCCCUGCCCUUUGUACACACCGCCCGUCGCUACUACCGAUUGAACGGUUUAGUGAGGGCCUCGGAUUGGUCUCGGCCCGCUCUUUACCGGGCGGCGCCGUUGGUCGAGAAGACGCUCGAACUUGAUCGUUUAGAGGAAGUAAAAGUCGUAACA
rnacentral:rRNA from 1 species